rnacentral:rRNA from 1 species
AUUGAACGCUGGCGGCAGGCUUAACACAUGCAAGUCGAGCGGGGUGAUGGUGCUUGCACUAUCACUUAGCGGCGGACGGGUGAGUAAUGCUUAGGAAUCUGCCUAUUAGUGGGGGACAACAUCUCGAAAGGGAUGCUAAUACCGCAUACGUCCUACGGGAGAAAGCAGGGGAUCACUUGUGACCUUGCGCUAAUAGAUGAGCCUAAGUCGGAUUAGCUAGUUGGUGGGGUAAAGGCCUACCAAGGCGACGAUCUGUAGCGGGUCUGAGAGGAUGAUCCGCCACACUGGGACUGAGACACGGCCCAGACUCCUACGGGAGGCAGCAGUGGGGAAUAUUGGACAAUGGGGGGAACCCUGAUCCAGCCAUGCCGCGUGUGUGAAGAAGGCCUUAUGGUUGUAAAGCACUUAAGCGAGGAGGAGGCUCUUUUGGUUAAUACCCAGAAUGAGUGACGUUACUCGCAGAAUAAGCACCGGCUAACUCUGUGCCAGCAGCCGCAGUAA